rnacentral:rRNA from 1 species
UACGGGGGGGCAAGCGUUGUUCGGAAUUACUGGGCGUAAAGGGUUCGUAGGUGGCUGGCUAAGUCAGACGUGAAAUCCCUCAGCUUAACUGGGGAACUGCGUCUGAGACUGGUCGGCUUGAGUGCAGGAGAGGAACGCGGAAUUCCAGGUGUAGCGGUGAAAUGCGUAGAUAUCUGGAGGAACACCGGUGGCGAAGGCGGCAUCCUGGACCGGUAUUGACGCUGAGGCGCGAAAGCCAGGGGAGCAAAGCGGG